UCGAGAAUCUUCGGCAAUGGACGCAAGUCUGACCGAGCGAUGCCGCGUGCGGGAUGAAGGCCCUCGGGUUGUAAACCGCUGUCAGUUGGGAGGAAAUCUUAUAGGGUUCUCUCUAUGAGUUGACCGAUCUUCAGAGGAAGUACGGGCUAAGUUCGUGCCAGCAGCCGCGGUAACACGAACCGUACGAACGUUAUUCGGUAUCACUGGGCUUAAAGCGUGCGUAGGCGGCCUGGAAGGUGAGAGGUGAAAUCCCACGGCUCAACCGUGGAACUGCCUUUCAAACCACCAGGCUUGAGGAAGACAGGGGUGAUCGGAACUUAUGGUGGAGCGGUGAAAUGCGUUGAUAUCAUAGGGAACACCGGUGGCGAAAGCGGAUCACUGGGUCUUUUCUGACGCUGAGGCACGAAAGCUAGGGUAGCGAACGGGAUUAGAUACCCCCGUAGUCC
rnacentral:rRNA from 1 species